CGCAUGCGCUUUACUGGCGACGCCAUCGUCCCGCUCUAGCAACAGUCACUAAGCGACGCACGCUCGUCGCCCUUGGGCGCCAGCCCCGUCAGACGCCUGCCGCAGGGCGGGCAGGACGGGAGGCGCCGCGUGGCGCCGACUCAGGGUUCCUGGAGGAGCGAGGGCCGAGUCGGGGCUGCUACAGGGGAGCGCAGCAUCUCGCUGAGCCCGGCGGGGUGGGGCGGCUGCGGGCUCACCGCUACCGCCCCUAGAGCUGCCCCAGCAGGGGGGUUUGCCUGAAGCACAGCCUGGCAGGCUAGGCCGGAUCCCGUCCGACCGCACCGGCCAGGCAGCAAGGAGCUGGGCCCGCUCCCCUGAGUGAGAGGCAGGGACACCAACCUUUGGGCAGAUGGGAGCUCGAGCCUGACUGAGAGACAGGCACCUUAAACUCUUCCCCGACAUCCACCAACACUCGCUGCAGCUCACCCAGAAGCGCUAACAGGUUGCGGCCAUAGGCGGCAGAACUUUGGAGGAAGAUGGUGAUUUGGAAGGUAGAAGAGUCUUUUUUUUUUUUAAUCCAGUCACUUCAUUGUGCACCUUUGGUCCCACAAACUGGUUUGUAGAACAGAACUUCAUGGUUAAUAUUCCAGCUCUCAAGUGGAAUCAUUGUCAGGAAAAUUUGGAUAGAUUAUAUAGUAUAUGCCUUAGACUCAGACCUAUUACGUCCAUGCUUCACAUUCUGGAUAUGACUUCCCACCAGUGGAGUAGUGGAAUGUGCAAUUGAUUUAACAAAACAGUUUAUUAGACCCAUAAAAUUCAAAAUGA